GAUGAACGCUAGCGGCAGGCUUAAUACAUGCAAGUCGAGGGGCAGCGCAGUGUAGCAAUACAUAGGCGGCGACCGGCAAACGGGUGCGGAACACGUACAGAACCUUCCUUCGAGCGGGGAAUAGCCCAGAGAAAUUUGGAUUAAUACCCCAUAGUAUAGUGGAGAGGCAUCUCUUUACUAUUAAAGAUUAUCACUUGAAGAUGGCUGUGCGGCUGAUUAGGUAGUUGGCGGGGUAACGGCCCACCAAGCCUGCGAUCAGUAACUGGUGUGAGAGCACGACCAGUCACACGGGCACUGAGACACGGGCCCGACUCCUACGGGAGGCAGCAGUAAGGAAUAUUGGUCAAUGGACGAAAGUCUGAACCAGCCAUGCCGCGUGGAGGAUGAA
rnacentral:rRNA from 1 species